GACAGAGGGUGCAAACGUUGUUCGGAAUUACUGGGCGUAAAGCGCGUGUAGGCGGCCCUGCAAGUCGGAUGUGAAAUCCCACGGCUCAACCGUGGAAGUGCAUUCGAAACUGCAGGGCUAGAGUCCUGGAGAGGAAGGUGGAAUGCUUGGUGUAGAGGUGAAAUUCGUAGAUAUCAAGCGGGAACACCGGUGGCGAAGGCGGCCUUCUGGACAGUGACUGAC
rnacentral:rRNA from 1 species